UACGGAGGAUCCAAGCGUUAUCCGGAUUUAUUGGGUUUAAAGGGUGCGUAGGCGGCCUAUUAAGUCAGGGGUGAAAGACGGUAGCUUAACUAUCGCAGUGCCUUUGAUACUGAUGGGCUUGAAUGAACUAGAGGUAGGCGGAAUGUGACAAGUAGCGGUGAAAUGCAUAGAUAUGUCACAGAACACCAAUUGCGAAGGCAGCUUACUAUGGUUUUAUUGACGCUGAGGCACGAAAGCGUGGGGAGCAAACAGG
rnacentral:rRNA from 1 species